AAUUUAGCUUUCACUAUGUGUUAUUAUUUGAACAUUUGGCGGAAGUAAUCUGGGGAGAGGACGCUGGCGCUGAUUGUUCGCCGCUUCUCCACCAGAAUUAGUUUAGUUUUAGUGUUUUUAUUUAUU